GCGUGCUGCAGUGCAACUGUGCGCACGCACACGGCAUUUAUCGGCCACAUUAUGUCUGUGUACCCCUCAGGACCUUUUUAAGUACCCCUAGGGUUGACAACCACUGGGCUAUGGCAGAGAGGGACUGAAGAGUUGCUCGAGUGCUUGUGCAUAUCAUAUCUACCCAGACUCCUGCCAAUAUUUCUUCUCUCAGUCUCUGCCUACCUGACCUAUUUAGACAACAAGGCCUUCAAAGAGCCUCAGAUAAGGAACACUGUCCCUGCUGGGUCUGGCAUGUCAGCAUGCAGGAAGAUUGCCAAGGGCUCUCUCCUUCACACUGGAGCUUUGUCUUUGUGCAAGUGUCCCUGCCAGGAGUGGAUCGCUGUAUAAUUGGAAGAGCUGGAGUUACCUGUUCAUUCCUCGCUCCUCUGGGUGGAGCCAGGACCCAGAACGUUCCCACUGCAGCAGUUCUGCAGAGCGUCACCUGGAUGGAAAUUGGGAGCUAUGAACAGCUCACAACAAACUUGCCAGUGUCACAGCAUGAAUUCUCACUUGUUUCAGUCUGUUAAUUGAACAAGAGCAGGUGGUGGGACUGAGGAGCUCUCAUUCAGUGACCUGGAGACCAGGCUCACAGCUGGUUUAAACACUGAAAGUUUGCAUUUGCAGAGUAGGCGGCUAGGAGAGCAUUAUUUCCUCUUUCCAUGCAGGCAGCGGAAGACAUUUGCAUUCUCUUUCUGAGAUUCUCAGCACUUCCCCACCCAGAUCACUCCAUUGCUUUGGAUACAGAGGUGGAUGGCCUUGUUCAGUCUUUUCAAUGGGUAUCUGUUGUACUUCUCUCCAUGCUUCUCCCUGCUCCCUCAAGAAGAUCUGAAGAGACUUUGGACUUUAUGCUGGGUUCCUAGUAGGGCCUUGAGACAGUCUGUCUGAGGACUGUCUGACUGAGAACUUACCCAAGCCAAUAUCCCUGAAUCCAUAACAGUGAUAUGGGUUAGCUACAAAAUUCAGAAACAAAUCCCACUCCAGGCUACUUCAAAUCUUGAAGCCAACUCUUACCAGCUCACUGUAAACCUCAUGAAAGUUGGCAUUUCCCUUAAAGCUGAGGUUAUGAGAAUCUCACCUUUAGAAAAAAAAUAUCGUAGCGCUCAUACUGCAGGAAAGGGCCAGAAGAUGUCCCCCAAGUACAACCCCAGGCCCACAAAAUGGAAAACAAAACAAAAACCCUCACAUUUUUGAAGCAUCAGGAUUUAAAUCAACUUUGAUUUCGCAAGACCUGGGCCCAAGGAUUUUGGAUGCAUUCAUUUGCUCCAACAAGUCACUUCAGCCAGCAUUCACAGCACUUCAGUUUUCAUCAUAAGGUAAAAGUAAACAUCUUAAAUCAGUCAGUGUGUACUACAGUAUAUUUGUACUACAAUUUUUCCUGUUUUGAUACACUAUACUUUCAGUUUGGAUAUGUAACUACAGGAUAAGCUGGAGCAACCUUUCCUGUCUACAAGGUGGGGAAAGCUAGACUGUUCUUCAACUUAAUGUUGAAGGUUACACCUUGCUUAAUCAGUGCUGGAACACAGCACCAGGGAAAUGAAACCACAUGCAGUCCUCCUACAAGAAACACACAUAGAGCAGCUGCAGAAGAUGAAGUUCUCAGGCUACAGCCUUGCAGACUCUGUAGCCAGCAGGAUUCAUGGCCCUGUUACCAUCAUCAGAAAUGACCUACCAUACACUACCAAGGGACAUAACACUUCCCAGAGUGCAACAGAAUGGAACAGUGUCCAGGUUAAUGAUAUAAUUAUUGUCAACGUAUACAAGCCGCCAUCUGCCUUGUUGUCAAUCACAUCCCUGCCUAUUUCUGACCAGACAGCCUUACUUGCAGGUGACGUCAGCUCUCAACAUCAAAAUUGGGGAAACUCCAUUAACAGUAGAAACAGAGGCAAUAAUCUUUGUCUCUGGGCAAGCCUGAAUGAUAUAACCAUCAUAUAUGACCCAAAGGAGCCACGUACCUUCCACUCUGCAUGAUGGAACAUUCAACCAAACCUAGACCUUGCCUGGUCAAUGGUGAUUUGAGUAAAACACCAAGUACGUGGCAAGUUUCCACCAGCUCAGCACAGGCCCUCACUCAUUAGCACUGACAAUAUGACUUUUCAGCCCACACCACCAGACCAACUCCACGAUGGAACUUCUGGAAGGCGGGCUGGCAGAAAUAUUAAAGGUUGACCAACAAGAGAGCAAAUCAAUUAGAGCAUAGUUUUUCAACCUGUGGUACAUGUACCCCUGGGGGUACGUGAGACACAGGCAGGCAGGACGCAGGCGCAGAAAACCCCUGC